rnacentral:misc_RNA from 1 species
CUUCGUCACGAGCUUCGUGGCGUCGGGUUUCCACGAUGCAUCACCUUGACCGAAUGACUGAGUCCCGAACACUUGGAUAUGGGAGUGGUGGGUUCCGUCCCCUUAAGCGAGUGGGCUCUGAAGUGGCUGGCUUGCGAAGGGGGUCGGCGCGCGCUGGUUCCCGUACGACGAGUUGAAACAUAACCAAAAACAACUCUCAGCAACGGAUAUCUUGGCUCUUGCAACGAUGAAGAACGCAGCGAAAUGCGAUACGUAGUGUGAAUUGCAGAAUUCCGCGAAUCAUCGAGUCUUUGAACGCAAGUUGCGCCCGAGGCUUGUCCAAGGGCAUUUCCGCUAGAGCGUCACCGCGCCCCCCACCGAUCCACUCGCGCCGCGAGGCGAGAGUCGGGUCGAGUGAAAGUGGCCGUCCCGGUGGGCCUUCGCAAGAAGGCCUUUAAGGGUUGGCUGAAAUGGAGGGAAUUGGGCCGCCGUGGUGACACAGUCCGCGAUCGGGUGAUUUUUUUGGCUGUCCCUCCUUCGGGAGGGUCGCCGUGAAUUUUUCUAAGUGCGUGGCUGCGUCCCCCAGUUGGUUUCGGUUACCUCAUGCAGGUCUUGCGCGC